UGGGGAUAUUGCACAAUGGAGGAAACUCUGAUGCAGCGACGCCGCGUGAGUGAAGAAGUAUUUCGGUAUGUAAAGCUCUAUCAGCGGGGAAGAUAAUGACAGUACCUGACUAAGAAGCCCCGGCUAACUACGUGCCAGCAGCCGCGGUAAUACGUAGGGGCAAGCGUUAUCCGGAUUUACUGGGUGUAAAGGGAGCGUAGGCGGCGGAACAAGUCAGAAGUGAAAGCCCGGGGCUCAACCCCGGGACGGCUUUUGAAACUGCCCUACUUGAUUUCAGGAGAGGUAAGCGGAAUUCCUAGUGUAGCGGUGAAAUGCGUAGAUAUUAGGAGGAACACCAGUGGCGAAGGCGGCUUACUGGACUGACAAUGACGCUGAGGCUCGAAAGCGUGGGGAGCAAACAGGAUUAGAUACCCUGGUAGU
rnacentral:rRNA from 1 species